AUUAAACGAUAAACCACAUAUGUGCCAUUUUCAACCAAAAGGGUACUUAUUGUCGGUUGUCAAUAAGGCGCUAUUUCCAUAUAGCUUCAAUUUGAAAUCAACCUUAUCAACAACCGACAAUGUGGUACCUUUUCAUUGAAAACGUCACAUAUAAA